AGUCGAGUGCGCAGUUCCCUGUAGCAAUACAGGGGAUGGGCGCACGGCGCACGGGUGCGUAACACGUGGGCAACCUGCCCUCCAAUGGGGGAUACCCCCGCGAAAGCGGGACUAAUACCGCAUGACAUUCCGAUGGCUUCGGCUGUUGGAUUCAAAGCCCGCAAGGGCGUUGGAGGAGGGGCCCGCGCCCGAUUAGCUUGUUGGCGAGGUAACGGCUCACCAAGGCAAUGAUCGGUAGCUGGUCUGAGAGGAUGGCCAGCCACACUGGAACUGAGACACGGUCCAGACUCCUACGGGAGGCAGCAGUGGGGAAUAUUGCGCAAUGGGCGAAAGCCUGACGCAGCGACGCCGCGUGGGGGAUGAAGCUUUUCGGAGUGUAAACCCCUUUCGACCCGGACGAAACACCCGCAAGGGUUUGACGGUACGGGUAUAAGAAGCCCCGGCUAACUACGUGCCAGCAGCCGCGGUAAUACGUAGGGGGCCAGCGUUGCUCGGAAUUACUGGGCGUAAAGGGUUCGUAGGCGGUGCGGUAUGUCGGGAGUGAAAUCUCUGGGCUUAACCCAGAGGCUGCUUCCGAAACUGCCGUGCUCGAGUGCGGGAGAGGCGAGUGGAAUUACAGGUGUAGCGGUGAAAUGCGUAGAUAUCUGUAGGAACACCCGUGGCGAA
rnacentral:rRNA from 1 species